rnacentral:tRNA from 1 species
GGUAUCAUGGCAGAGUGGUUAUUGCGAGUAACUGUUAAUUACUUAUUCAAUGGUUCAAUUCCAUUUGAUGCCU